rnacentral:rRNA from 1 species
GACGAACGCUGGCGGCGUGCUUAACACAUGCAAGUCGAACGAGACCUUCGGGUCUAGUGGCGCACGGGUGCGUAACGCGUGGGAAUCUGCCCUUCGGUUGGGAAUAACUGAGAGAAAUUUCAGCUAAUACCUUAUAAUGUCUUCGGACCAAAGAUUUAUCGCCGGGGGAUGAGCCCGCGUAGGAUUAGGUAGUUGGUGGGGUAAUGGCCUACCAAGCCGACGAUCCUUAGCUGGUCUGAGAGGAUGGUCAGCCACACUGGGACUGAGACACGGCCCAGACUCCUACGGGAGGCAGCAGUGGGGAAUAUUGGACAAUGGGCGAAAGCCUGAUCCAGCAAUGCCGCGUGAGUGAUGAAGGCCUUAGGGUUGUAAAGCUCUUUUACCCGGGAUGAUAAUGACAGUACCGGGAGAAUAAGCUCCGGCUAACUCCGUGCCAGCCGCCGCUGUAA